UUGACCUUUGAUGGUCUACAUACCGAACAACCGACAGACUGACAGACAUCUGCAAAACAGUAUAACCAGACUCCUUCUUCAAAGGGUUUCGUUAAAAUGAGAAUAAGUCUACGCUGUAUCCAGCUGGACAAAAAUAAUAUUCAGAGUGGUAUACAGAAAAUUUGAACUUUGGUUAUUUUGUGAGACAGAAUAUUUAUUAUUAUUUAUUAUAUCUUUGUAUUAUAUUCAAUAUAUCAAUGUAAAUAUUAAUAAGUCACUUUUUCAAUUAACAAUUCUGAAAGACAGAAAAAGGUGGAAAAUAGGUGGCAGCUAGUGGAAAUUGGCUGUGCUGUCCGAAUCUGAAAAGAUCAUUUUUGAAUGUGUCUACAGCAUAUUAUUUCUGCAUGAGUGAAAGUUGGUUAAAGAUAAGAUUAAUGAAAGAUCAAGUUACAAGCUCCCACACUAAUGUAUAGAAACAACCCCAGGUGGAAUUUGGGUCAGUUAAGAUUCAUAUAUGCAGGCAAACAUCAGGUCAGAUGCAAAGAAAUAGUUCUUGCCUUUUCUCUUCAUUAAUUGAAAAAAAAGAAGUGUAUAUAAAAAGGAUGCUUUUACAAUAGCUUUUCAACAUAAGUAUUUGACACCUUUAGCUGACCAAAAUAGUGUAUGUGUGGAAUCAAUUUAUCUGUGUAGUAAUACCAAAAUUUGAAAACUGGCAUUUGAUGAGUCUGUCAGGGAGAAAAUGGAAACACAUUGUGAGAGGUAACAAUAUUAUACUGUUUAUUUUUUUUUAAUUAUUACUAGCUUUAACAUUGUCUUACUUACUAAAUCUUAACAAAUACUGCUUGAAAUUAAAAUCAACAAAUCUCCUUUUAUGUCUUGGGAAGUUUGGCAGAUGGAUAAAUCCCAGAUAAAUUUUCUGGAAUAUAGCUCAAUCAUGUUUAUAACAGUGCUUGUAAAAUUGUAUCAUUUUGUUAUUAUUUACAUUAUUGAUUAGCACUUAGGGUACAAUAUGUACUUUAAACUGUUCAUACCAGGAACCUUCUGUGAAAAAAGUGCAACUUUGUGACAUGAUCUGCCUGCCUGACUGUAUACCUGAGCAGCAUACAGCUUAUUACUGCAUGAAAGAAACAUAUCAAGAUCAUUCUGAAUCAGAUUGUGUGCUAGAAAAUGGCCUUACAUCCAAAGGAGCGAAAUUUGGAGACUUAAGCCAUCCUGGAAUAUGAAAAAACAAGGCUGCAUUGACAACAUCCUGAUCCUGGUGUUCAGAUCUUUUGUGAUUUCUUGUGAAGGGUCUUUGCUUUUCGCAUAAAAAUAAAAAAUAUAUUAAUAUAAUUUGA